GUGUCAGCCGCCGCGGUAAUACGUAGGGUGCGAGCGUUAAUCGGAAUUACUGGGCGUAAAGCGUGCGCAGGCGGUUUUUUAAGAUAGGCGUGAAAUCCCCGGGCUUAACCUGGGAACUGCGCUUAUGACUGGAAGACUAGAGUACGGCAGAGGGGGGUGGAAUUCCACGUAUAGCAGUGAAAUGCGUAGAGAUGUGGAGGAACACCAAUGGCGAAGGCAGCCCCCUGGGCCGAUACUGACGCUCAUGCACGAAAGCGGGGGGAGCAAACAGGAUUAGAUACCCUGGUAGUCCACGCCCUAAACGAUGUCAACUAGGUGUUGGGUGGGUAAAACCAUUUAGUACCGUAGCUAACGCGUGAAGUUGACCGCCUGGGGAGUACGGCCGCAAGGUUAAAACUUAAAUGAAUUGGCGG
rnacentral:rRNA from 1 species